rnacentral:rRNA from 1 species
AAAGACCUCAAAAUGUUCUAAUUUCUCACUCGAUCCUUGUCUGAAACUGGAAGCUAAGUAGGAUCAGGCCUCGUUAGUACUUGGAUGGAAGACUGUCUGGGAAUACUGAUGUUGUAGGCUUUU